UGAAAUUCAAUUCAUUGGCAC
rnacentral:piRNA from 1 species